ACUGUUCUCUUCCCCUUUUCGGUUUACAUAUCCUAAAUCAAUUCAAACAAUUUUUUACAACAAAAAUAAUAAAAUCAAAUAACAAACAUAAAUUAAAUGUCCAUAUCUAUAUUGAUCUUCACUCUUCAGUUGUCUCCAACACUUGAAGUUCUCAAGAGUUGUAGUCUAAAUGGCCAAUGCAAACAAUAUUACUUUCAGAUAAGGAUUUCGAUCUUACGCCUCAAUUAGAAUAUAGAAAGAAAUAGAGACAUGUGUUGAACAUGGACUCGUUUCAAUUGAACUCGGAAAGUUUGUGAACUGAACUCCUUUCUUUCUCCAUGGUUGGAGAUGAACUCGUGUAGCUAUAUGAUUUACAUACAGGACAAGCUUCGAAGAUCAACAACACACAAAAUUUGUUCUACGACUUGGGUUUCUCCUUUCAUCUAUGAUAGCUGUCUUCCUCCAUGUUUUGUUCUUCUACAUCUACAACAUAGAUUAUCAGAAAAGUCAAGAACGCGACCAUUGGUGCCAGGUCGGUGACGGACUUCAUCCUUCUACUCGAAGUCGCCUACAAGGUCUGCUCAAGUUCAAUACUUGACUUAUGUCCCAAUUCUAAAACGAAUGCGGCUCCUCUGACUUUCUUCGGACGCCUUGCUGAUGUUAGCAAAAGGGUUCCAUGGAUGGAUGUCCUUGUCGAUUUUUUGGCAAUGCUUCCCCUUCCACAGGAAAUGUGCAGAUUAUCCUUGUGGGAGUCUUUCCAAGUAGGAAAGGUAUCAAAUAUUUUAAAAACAAGUGGCGACUGAUUUUUCUGCCUCUCUUCCAAUUUGUCCCAAGAAUCAUUCGAAUCUACCUGUUAUGUAAGAAGCUUUCCAGGAGUGCUGCUCCUAAUGUCAUAACAAAAACCGGGCAGUUCAGAGGCACAUUCAAUUUCGUCCUCUUCAUUCUUGCCAGCCAUGUGGUUGGAGCAUUUUGGUACUGCUUCUCAGUUAUAACAUAACUGAAUUGUUGGCGAAGUGCCUGCAAAUUUAAUAGUGGAUGCAGGGUGAAUUCAUUUUCUUGUGAGGAUAUCACGGGCAAUGAGCGAUUUGUUGAUAAGUAUUGCCUUGACAAUCUGGCCAAAUUCGAUUUUGGUUUAUUUCUUAAUGCCCAACAAUCUGGUAUCAGGAGGGUAAAUGAUUUUCCUGCAAAGUUAUUGUUGGAAUUCUUUCCUUUUUUUCUAGGCUUUUUCCUUGUUAGAAUCCUAGAAUAAUUAUGGAAAGAUUAUGGGGAUGUAUUCCUUAUUUUCCUAAAUCUUUUCCUUUUUUAUUCCAUUGUGUACU